rnacentral:rRNA from 1 species
AUGGUGUUGCUUGACAUUAGGGGUAUGUUGCAGUCCAUGGGCAAAGACAUAGCUGAUUUCGCUCUUCCAUGCUUUGACGAUACGUUCGACCCAACCGAGGGCGAGGCCAGAGAAGUGAUCGAGGAAUCCAACGUCGAUUUUGACAUCAGCGACACUAAAUUGGCAUUGUCGCUAAACUUGGAGCAGAGGGCUGCAAAUGACGAGAUACUAGCUGUUGUUGAACGCGGUGAUGGGGGUGUGUUCUUUGUUGCUAGCCCGGGAGGUAUAGGGAAGACCUUCCUGUACAGGGCAUUGCUCGCCAAGGUUCGAAGCGAGGGAAACAUCGCUAUCGCUACCGCGACGUCAGGCGUCGCCGCUUCUAUCAUGCCUGGCGGCAGGACUGCCCACUCGAGGUUCAAGAUCCCAUUGAGUUGUGACGAUGGCGCCUCAUGCACCUUCACAAAGUAG